rnacentral:ncRNA from 1 species
CGCCCGAAGCGGGGGUACCAAGGCCAACGGGCCGCGGUUGAGACAUACCCUUCGAACCUGAUCCGGUUGAUACCGGCGUAGGGAAGCUUCGUGUACCGACCA